rnacentral:rRNA from 1 species
CAGUUCGGAUUGGAGUCUGCAACCCGACUCCAUGAAGCUGGAUUCGCUAGUAAUCGCGCAUCAGCCACGGCGCGGUGAAUACGUUCCCGGGCCUUGUACCACACCGCCCGUCAAGCCAUGGAAGCCGGGAGUGCCUGAAGUACGCGACCGCAAGGAGCGUCCUAAGGUAAACCGGUGACUGGGGCUAAGUCGUAACAAGGUACC